AUGGCCUGGGCCCCCCUGCUCCUCACCCUGCUCACCUACUGCUCGGGUUCUCUGGCCCAGUACGUGCUGACUCAGCCGCCCUCAGUGUCUGUGUCUCCAGGGCAAAACGCUCAACUCACCUGCUCAGGGAACAACAUUGGUAGCAAGGCUGUGCACUGGUACCAACAGAAACCUGGCAGUGCCCCCCUACUCGUGAUAUAUAGUGAUAGCAACAGACCCUCCGGAAUCCCUGAUCGAUUCUCUGGUGCCAACUCCGGGAACACGGCCACGUUAACCAUCACUGGGGUCCAGGCGCAGGACGAGGCUGAUUAUUACUGUCAGGUGUGGGACAGCAACACUCCUCACAGUGACCCAGCCCGAUGUGGAAGUGAUGAUUUGUUGGGAAUUGUGGAUGAUGAGCAGGAAAGAGCUUCUAGUGGACAUCUGGCAUUUCUCACAGAGCUGAGGACUCAGAUGUUCUCACUGCCUGACUCUCCUGGGAACACUGUAAAACCCUCCUGCACUGUGAAUACUGGGACGAGCUUCAAAGACCACA